AUUCAACGGCCGCGGUAUCAUAACCGUGCAAAGGUAGCGUAAUCACUUGUCUCCUAAAUAGAGACUCGUAUGAACGGCUAACUGAGGGCCCAACUGUCUCCUUUAGCCAAUCAAUGAAACUGAUUUUUCAGUACAAAAGCUGAGAUAUCAUCACAAGACGAAAAGACCCUGUGGAGCUUUAAGUUAACACUACCCAUAUAAUCAUAUGUCUAACCCAGACACACCACCCAAAACUAUAGUCCAAACUUUAAGUUGGGGCGACUGCGGAGAUAAACAAAACCUCCACAAACCAAGGUUAACUACCUAUCAUUUGGCCUACAAGCCUAAUGACCUAAGACAUUGACCCAGUAGCACUGCAACCGAACCAAGUUACCCCAGGGAUAACAGCGCCAUCCCCCUUUAGAGUCCCUAUCGCCAGGGGGGCUUACGACCUCGAUGUUGGAUCAGGACACCCCGGUGGUGAAGCCGCUACCAAAGGUUCGUUUGUUCAACGAUUAAUGUCCUA
rnacentral:rRNA from 1 species